GCAGUCGGGCAUUUCGUCGCUCGCCGCCUUUUCGCGGCGUGAGGAAAGUCCGGGCAACACAGAGCACCAUACUUCUUAACGGGAAGCUGUUGGCAACAGCAGAGUAGCGUGACAGAAAACAACCGCCCGCACUCGUGUGGGUAAGGGUGAAAAGGUGAGGUAAGAGCUCACCGGGCGACAUAGUGAUAUGCCGCGCCGCACGCCUUAUGGGUUGCAAGGCCAAGUAUACCGGCAUUUAAGGGUUGCUCGCCCAUUGUCGGGGGGCUGUCUCGUAUACACAGCUGCCGCUGCCGACGACUAGUC
rnacentral:RNase_P_RNA from 1 species